rnacentral:rRNA from 1 species
UUGGAGGGCAAGUCUGGUGCCAGCAGCCGCGGUAAUUCCAGCUCCAAUAGCGUAUAUUAAAGUUGUUGCAGUUAAAAAGCUCGUAGUUGAAUUUCGGGGUUUAUACGUUGGUCGGGCUUUUGGGUCUGUACUGGCGUAAUGAAUUCCUACCUUCUGAAUAACCAGCAUGUCAUUAAUUUGAUGCGCCGGGGAAGCAGGACUGUUGCCUUGAAAAAAUUAGAGUGCUUAAAGCAGGCUAUUGCCUGAAUACAUUAGCAUGGAAUAAUGAAAUAGGACGGCAUGGUUCUAUUUUGUUGGUUUCUAGGAUCACCGUAAUGAUUAAUAGGGAUAGUUGGGGGCAUUAGUAUUCAAUUGUCAGAGGUGAAAUUCUUGGAUUUAUUGAAGACUAACUUCUGCGAAAGCAUUUGCCAAGGAUGUUUUCAUUAAUCAAGAACGAAAGUUAGGGGAUCGAAGAUGAUCAGAUACCGUCGUAGCCUUAACCAUAAACUAUGCCGACUAGGGAUCGGACGAUGUUAAUUUUUUAAUGACUCGUUCGGCGCCUUACGGGAAAC